CCGACCACGGCGAUGAGGCGAAGCCGAGCGACUGGUCAGUCGGUGUGCGGCGCUGCUGCUGUUGCUGCUGCUUUGAGCAGUUGGAGCGAGGCAAUCAAAUCGUACGCUUUGCCGUAAGCACGGCUGUUUAGCGAAUGGCGGCCGCUGCGGCUAACUGCUUGGAUGCCUCCUCACCGAUGCCAAAAUGCGGCAAGGUGAACAAAAUAAAACGGAAAACAGCAAUAGCAACAACAACAACAAACCAGAGAACAAACACAAAAUUAGCCCCCGCUUUCAGUGCUGACAUUAUCGAAUUGACAAAAGAAUUGGCAAACGAAAUGGCCGUAAAAAACAGACAACAACAGCAAAGCAGAGCGAAAAGUGUGAAGGCGACACGCUGAAAGGCAAACCAAACAGAAAUAAACAUGAAAAGGCAAUCGCCGACGUCAACGCUGACCGCGCGACUGCUUUGACAUAACCGUUAUGCAGGCACUCAAAGUACAGUCAGAUAACAUUACAACUUGUUAGCGAAUCGGAAAAGGAAAUGAACAAACUUUGAGCUAUGAAGAGAAAAUUAAACUUGGCCUUCCAUAUAUUUCUUUCUCUCUCUCGCUAUUUCAUGUGCUCAGGAACUUAAAAGUGUUGAAUACUAUUUUAUAUUGUAUUUGAAUUAUUUAAUUUACUAUAUUUGAAAAUGCCAUAGAAAAUAGUAGAAAAACUUGCAAAAAUCUUCAAAUAUUUUUUGUUGAACAAUAAAAUAAAAAAUAAAAAAAUGGAUUUGACUAUUAUAUGUUAGAUAUAUAAGGUAUUAUUGCUGUUAUGUAUG